rnacentral:rRNA from 1 species
UUGUCUCUCUUGAGUGGAUCCUGAGUACGACGGAGCACGUGAAAUUCCGUCGGAAUCUGGGAGGACCAUCUCCUAAGGCUAAAUACUCUCUAGUGACCGAUAGUGAACCAGUACCGUGAGGGAAAGGUGAAAAGCACCCCGGAAGGGGAGUGAAAUAGAACCUGAAACCGUGUGCUUACAAGUAGUCAGAGCCCGUUAAUGGGUGAUGGCGUGCCUUUUGUAGAAUGAACCGGCGAGUUACGAUUUGAUGCAAGGUUAAGCAGUAAAUGUGGAGCCGUAGCGAAAGCGAGUCUGAAUAGGGCGUUUAGUAUUUGGUC